UUCGGGGACUUGAGGGCGGCGUACGGGUGCGUAACACGUGUGCAACCUGCCUCUAUCUGGGGGAUAGCCUUCCGAAAGGAAGAUUAAUACCCCAUAAUAUAAUGAUUGGCAUCAAUUAUUAUUGAAAACUCCGGUGGAUAGAGAUGGGCACGCGCAAGAUUAGAUAGUUGGUGGGGUAACGGCCCACCAAGUCGAUGAUCUUUAGGGGUCCUGAGAGGGAGAUCCCCCACACUGGUACUGAGACACGGACCAGACCCCUACGGGAGGCAGCAGUGAGGAAUAUUGGACAAUGGGUGGAAGCCUGAUCCAGCCAUCCCGCGUGAAGGACGACGGCCCUAUGGGUUGUAAACUUCUUUUGUACAGGGAUAAACCUCCCCUCGUGAGGGGAGCUGAAGGUACUGUACGAAUAAGCACCGGCUAACUCCGUGCCAGCAGCCGCGGUAAUACGGAGGGUGCAAGCGUUAUCCGGAUUUAUUGGGUUUAAAGGGUCCGUAGGCGGGCCCGUAAGUCAGUGGUGAAAUCUCGCAGCUUAACUGCGAAACUGCCAUUGAUACUGCGGGUCUUGAGUGAAUUUGAAGUGGCUGGAAUAAGUAGUGUAGCGGUGAAAUGCAUAGAUAUUACUUAGAACACCGAUUGCGAAGGCAGGUCACUAAGAUUCAACUGACGCUGAGGGACGAAAGCGUGGGGAGCGAACAGGAUUAGAUACCCUGGUAGUCCACGCCGUAAACGAUGCUAACUCGUUUUCGGGCCGCAAGGCUCGGAGACCAAGCGAAAGUGAUAAGUUAGCCACCUGGGGAGUACGUC
rnacentral:rRNA from 1 species